UUUCACUCAGUGGCUGCUCUCCAUUCCUAGGCAGCCCGGUCUGAUUAAAAAGCGAUCUCAAAUAGCUGCAGCAUGGAUCAUGAUUGAAACCCCGCGGAACUGAUCCUGAAUAUAAAGGAUUCAGUAUCACGACGCUUGGGAGCUCUGAAGAUGAAAAGCACUAGACUGAUUUAUUCAUAGACAUCCCGAUGGCGCUCCUGGCUCUGGAAGAGCAGUGGCAGUGGCACUGUUAACUGUUCCCGCCCCACGCUAUUUGUGGAGAGUGUUCUAUCAAUCAAGGCUUCACUCUUGCUGGCAACAACAACAUCAGGCUUUGUCCAUUCCAGGGUUACUUCUCCAGGCCAGAAGCUCCGAUUGCUGAAUAAAGCCCAAGGUUCCAGAUCUCCCCGGUGCUGUGCUACCAUCAUCUCAUAACUCAGAUAUUGAAUUGUUCCAGCUGUAAAUUAAUCUCCUUUCCUCAUGAUUGUCUCCUUUUAGCAUCUUUUAAAUUAGAUCCACCUAUUAGGAACAUUCCCUAAUCUCCUCUGCGACUCAUCAGAGUUUGCAGCCUGGCACAUCCAAUUUAGAUCUAAACUAUGUUGACUGGGUUUAAAAUGCUGCUUCUAACAUACUCCCUCACCAAUUGAUGCAUUAGCUGGCAACAUUAAAGGGGAGGGGGAAGAGAUUGAAUUUGCACAACUUGUGUUAACCUUUGGCACAAAAUGAAGGCUUCCCUCAGGCAAAGUCUGUAGAAUUAAAAGUGCCCAUAGCUCAGAGGCAAUGGACUGAAUUCUAACAACUCAACAUCAGUACUGGGCAGCCAUUAAGGAGCACAUUUCCUGUGAUCCUACCAGGGCUACCCGGGGGAGGGGGGGAGGGAGGCAAGUGGGGCAAUUUGCCCCAGGCCCCGGGCGCCGCAGAGUCCCCGCGAGCCCUGGUCUGG